rnacentral:lncRNA from 1 species
ACAGCCUGUAAGUGGGGCUGCCUCCUCUGUUUACAGUGGAGCAGCCCGACAGGUUAAUAAAAACUUGCUUGCCCGACUCUGGGGUCUACUCGUUCCUUCUCUUGGCUAACCCUACAUUUUGGUGCCAAAACCCGGGAAGGGCCACUCUCCCCUUCCUGAACCUGCCAAAGACCUGGAGGAUUUAUUGGACACUCCCAUUGUUGGCAACUUCAUUCAUCACUAGAGUCUACACAGGGAAAAGCCUGGCCCCCCGAGCCACUGUCCCCUCAUCAAGCUGAAGAGUAGAUAAUCACUCAUACUCCUGCAACUCCUUGGCCUGGCCACUGAAGACUGACGGGGCCCAUGGCCCCAGCACCCUCUGCCAUCACUGCAUUGGAGCCCAGGGUAACUCUACUAGAGGCAGUUUUUACAGGACCACAUCAAAACCUUCACCCAUGGAACAGUGCGAGGUAUACUGCUGCUUCAAGCAUACCAGCGGCUUCAAGAACAACCAUCCCAAGCCCCCCAAGCCUUUCCCCUUGCACACCGCCCCUCUACAGCUAGAAGCAGUCAGAUGAUAAAGUCACUCCUCUUCCUUUAUCACCUAUUAAAGGCUGGAAUGUUAGAGAGCCAAGCUACCCCUCCUCCUCCUCCAUGACCUUUGCAAUACGGUCCUUUGUGACCACCUACAAACACCUCCCCACUUUUUCUACAGCCACUUCUGCAAGACUUUCAGUAGAACUGGUAAACAGUUCCAGGAUGUGGUUAAGACAUCUGCCCACCUUGCCUAGCCAAGCUUGCCUAGCCAAGCAGGCAAAAACAUUUCCAGGAAAUGGUUGAAACACCUGCAACUCUACUCAGUUUCCCCCACCCCAACCUAGCACCUUGCCCUAUAAAACCCCACAGCAGCCUGUAAGCGGGGCUACCUCCUCCACAGUGGAGCAGCCCAGCAGGUUAAUAAAAACUUGCUUGCCUGACUUUGGGGUCUCCUUGUUCCUUCUCUUGGCUAACCUUACGCUUACUUUAAGUUUACAUGAGUCCUUGUGUGUUAAAUGAGUCUCCUGAAGGCAGCAGAUGGUUGGUGAGUUCUUACCCAUUCUGCAGUUCUGUGUCUUUUAAGUGAAGCAUUUAGGCCAUU